rnacentral:lncRNA from 1 species
UGGAUCCUCAAUGCUCUUCAACUUUGUACUUGUUUGGCUUUAUAAAUAUUUUGAUAUGAGCGUCACUGAUGAGUCUUAUGUAGACGAAACGCGCGUCUGGCGUACUACAUUAUAAUCCUGGUACCUUUGAUAACUAAUUUCAACUAUUUUGAAAUAAACCUUUUUUUCGAUUCCAUUUAUUGUUUGUUAUUUUCAAGAUAAAAAAACAAAAGUCAAUACUAUAAACUUGACCUUGAGGGAUUUAUCAUUACCUUGACCUCAUUUUCUUAUGAGAAAUACUUAUAAAAAUCUCAUGCAAGAAAAAAGAAUCCUGUUAAAAGUGCGCAGAAGUGCAAUUACUGUUCGAUAUCAUAUAUGCCAAAUAUCUAAGCAAUAUCUUCUAAAAUCAUAUAUAUGAUAUAUAUAUAUUAUAUUACGCAAGAAAUUAAAGUUACAGAGGGAAAAUGAUUAUAGAACUAUUUGAAAAACUUGACAAUAUCUGGGACAUGACUUUGACCCUACACAGGUCAUUGGUCCCAAAUGGUAUUUCAAAAUCUCCAAUAUGUCUUUUGGGUUAAGAUUUCGUGCAAAUUAAUUUUUUAGAAACCCUUACUGAGGAUCAAAUAUCUCGGUCAAUAAAUUACAAAGUUGCACCCGGAUGACCCAAACUUUUUCCACUAUUCAAGACUUAUGUCAGUGUUAUGGUUUCUGACAUAUCCAUUAAUAAGGUAAAAGGUCAAAGGAUAAGGUCAACCAUAACAGCUGUCAAACAUUUACAACAUUGGAAUAGGGUUAAAAACACAUUAUCCUUUAUCCAGGACAUUGGUCUCCGCUUUCAUUACAAAAGACCCAAUGGGUCUAGGAUCUUUUUGUCUUUUUCGAAAACCGCCUUCUGAAAAGGUACAUUAAUUUUACAUAAAAAAAAAAAACAAACGUAUCGUGAUUUCAAAAAUAUUAAUCGUUGUAAAACUUGUGUUGUUAGGGUGCUCUCUCGUACGAUUUACUCAAUAUUUCCUUUUCUGUGUGCCAUACUAGUAAUGAGGAUCCGGUUAAGUGAUGUAUAGUAAGAUUAAAAUCUAAUAUGAAAUGUUGAAUAUCUAAAUA